CGCAAUGUCUCUAUCAAAACGAUGAUUUUUUGGUGUGACUUCCUGUAACACAUGAGUCUGUAACUCUUCAACUUUUGCUGAGCUCAGUUCUUAUCAUUAGUUAAUACAUCGACAUUACAUAAUAACACAUGAAAGUCUUUUUUACUUGACCCAGAUGUACGUAUUUUAUUUUGGAUUAUGGUUGUGGUUCCUCUUUUUCCCUCCUCCACCUCUUUACCUUCAGUAUAUAACAGUUCCAGGGACAUAUUUCUACAUGGUACUUUCCCGUUAUCUCGGUGUUUUUCUUUCCAGCAUUUGCUCUGAGUUCCUUCUCUCUUUUCCUUUCCUCAAUGGUCAUAUCAUGAAACACAUCAACCUUCCUAAAUAUUUCACUUUGGCAUCUUUUAGCCUGAACAAGUUUCUCUGUUCUUUCAAGGAUCCUCUCAGAGUCACCACUAUGGUAGGCUACUCUGUUCUGUUUCUCCCUUGUAUCUUCCAAUUCGUCUUGUCUCCUCAAUAUUACUGUUGAAACAUGUCAAGCCCAUUUCACUGCAUACUUCUAUGAAAAUCAGCUUGUCAUGCUCAAUUUUUUCAGACCUAAUUGGCAAGUUCAUGCCCUCUUUCACCUUCUCUGGGAUACUACCAUACAAGGCAAUGUUGUUUUUCCUGUCUAAUCUAUUUUGUACUUGACUGGUAGUUUUAUCCAACAGUUCUUUAUGAGCAUUGAGGAGCCCAAAAGUACUUCUGUACUAGACCCACUGCAAACCUUUGGUGCCUCUCCCUCAUCCCUGUAGGCCAAACCUUCCUUCACCUCUGCACUCAGCUUGUUCCUCGUGUCCACUGUUAUGUCAACUAUUUUGCUUUCCAUUGCAUCAUUAUUAAUCACACUCUUGACUUCCUCCCCAACUUUCUGCUUGACUUCAUUAAUCCUAGAUUUUAACUCACUGUUCACAGUUAGACAAUGGGAUAACUAGUGACAUAGGUAAAUUUGCAGAUGACACCAAAAUAGGACACACUAUUAGGGUGGGGAGGAUGCUAGAGGAGGAUCUCAACAAACUGUCAGCUUGGUCAGAGAAAUGGCAGAUGAAUUUUAACAUCACCAAGUGUAGCGUACCUGGUGUAGGAACCCGCAACCCAUUACACGGGUAUAGUUUAGACUCCACAGCGAUAGGCAGGUCUGAGUGUGAAAGGGACCUGGGAGUGUUAGUGAACUCUGACCAACAACUAAGGAAGCAAUGUAUUAGUGCGAGGAAUAGGGCUAACAGGGUAUUAGGCUUUAUUAUUAAGAGGACGGUAACCAGCAGGAGUGCAGAGGUCAUCCUCAGACUCUGUUUAGCGUCAGUCAGGCCACACUCAAGUACUGUUUAUUUUGACUACCGCUGCCGCACUGGGAAAGAAAAAAAUGCGGGUGAUUUUGACAUGCGGCAGCUUGGGGUCGCCCGCAGGGUCCUCCGCCCCAAGGGAAUGACCAGGACAUGCGCCUCCCCCCGCCAGGCAUGGGGGGGGGAGGUGGUGGAGGUGGAGCGCCGUCACACCAUGAUAACAGGUUUCCCCGUGACCCACGUGCCGAUUUCGUUGACCAGCGGGGCAUACAGUGCUUCUGAGAGCCCCCGCCCCAGCCCCGAGACCUGCGGGGUGAUCCACUGGACUUGAGGUCCUGGUGGCACCCGACCCGAGCUACUGGUACUGCCGUUGGCUGGCGGAUGAGAUCUUCCUGACGGAUGUGACGGCCAACUUCCUGACUGUGAGGAUCGGGGAGUGCAAGAAGCGGCCGGAGGUUUUCAAGGACACGACCGACCCAAACCAGAAUUCCCAGUGUUUGAUUGUGUGAUGUGUUGUGAUUGUGAAUAUGUCUUGACUUUGCUGGUGAAGGUUUCCAUGGUGAACAGGAUCAUACUGAAAAGAUAUUAGCCGGGGGUCUUCAAGGACACGACCGACCCAAACCAGAAAUCCUAGUACUCAAUUAUGUGGUUAUUGUGAAUAUGUCUUGACUUUGCUGGUGAAGGUUUCCAUGGUGAACAGGAUCAUACUGAAAAGAUAUUUGCACGGAAAGAUAUUGUUGUGCUGUGUUCGUGGGAGUCCCGUAAACAAACAUGUGGGUACAGCUAUUACUGGACGCAAAAUGUUAUUGUAAAGCCUGCUGGAUACAUUUGACGAGCAUAGAAAACCACCUAAAAAUUAUAAGUUAAAACUCUGUCAUCACUUGCAGAAUUGGAAGUCCAAACAAUCUAAACUGAUACUUCAAAGGGAGCCCACAGCCUUGGGAUUACUUUAGGCAUUUGGGUUUGAGUCUUGGUGCAAAGCCAGAUUUUUAAGAAAUUUAUUUAUAAAAUUGUACGGGCCGUGAACACCUCGUGUCUGACCCCCUGCUGCUCACAAGCCGUACACCAAUUAGCCCAGUAGCAGCGACGGGACAAAUUUGUGGCUUAACCGUGGAGCAGCGACGAGCCAAACUUGUGCCAUGAUUUAAACCCAAAAAAAUAGAUGAUACAUAAACUGAUCACAAAUGUUUUGAUAUAUAUUAUGAAAUGGUUUGUGUGAGGGGUGAUUUUUUCUCAUUUUUCUCGCUUAGAGGGACCAUUAAGAAAUAUGAUCCCCGCUGCUACCGGGUUAAAAAAAAAAAACAUCCUAUGGAGAAAAAAUAUUCUCUGGGGAAGCUCAAGAGAUAGAUGAAGGCCAUUUCCUGAGGAGUAUUAUGCACUCUUUGUUAUGCUUGUUAGGGCAAACACAGAUUUUUAAUUAGUAUUUUCCCACCAGUAGUACUAUGGGUCGUCCACCUCACCCUACAAUGGAAACAAUAUAACAUUUGAAAAAUCAUGCUAUUCCGCCUUCUGUAUAAAAAGAGAUGUUAUAUGUUUUUUCCUGUUUUAGUCAUGGAAUUUACUAUUAAGCAGAAUAUUGUUGUACACUUGGGCACAUACACAGGAGGAGGCUUUUCAAACAGGCAAAUGUUGGUGCCCAGAUGUUUAAAAAUGCUGCUUGGAAGUCUGAAGAGUGACUGGAAUCUGCGACGUCUUUGCUGAUGGGGGCUUCGUGGUGCAGUGGUUAGCACACUCAGCUCACAACCGAGAGAGCACGGGGUCGAUUCCCAGGCGGAGUGGAAAAAUUUGGGCGGCUUUUCUGAUACCCUACGCCCCUGUCCACCCAGCAGUGAAUGGGUACCAGGUAUUAAUCGGGGGUUGUGUCCCGUCUCCUGGGGUCUGUUCUCUUCUCCUAUAAUUCCUUCCCCUUCUGUCUCUCUCCGGCACAUGACCACAGAUGUUGCGCCCACUAAACAAAACUUUCCAACUUUUUCUCUGGUGAUUCUCUGUACAGGCAGUGGUUCGGAAGGUGUACUAGACUGCCUCCAGCUGACUGUUUGAGGCUCUACCAUGUCUUCCGGUCAUGGUUUUAGGGUUUCCGCCGUCCAUAAGCUUAAGAAAUCUUGUGUACUGUAUUUCCAAGCUUCUGAAAAUGGACCCAAAAUAUAAUACUGAGUGCCUCUCUAAUGUUUAUCUCUAUGUAUAGGGAAGGGAGUUGUAUCAUAGCCUGUUAAGAAUAUUAAGGUGUCUAUUGUGUAUUUCCAGGCCUCUGAAAAUGGACCCAAAAUGUCAGAAUGAGUGCAUGUUGUACCUCUAAUGUUUAUCGCUAUGUAUAGGGAAGGGAGUUGUACUCACAGAGUUAUAUACAUAGAGGGUUCCCAGAGCCUGGAUUUUGAAGCAACUGGCGGCCAUCUUAGGGUGACGAAUGGCAAGACAGAGAGAAAUUUACUUUCCCAUAGUUAUGUCUGCUGUUAUCAGGUCAGCAGUGCCUCAGCGACCCUCUGUCAGAUAGACCUGUUAUUUUCUUGCCCAUUUUCUACCCACUGAUUAUUGUUACAUUGGUACAUGUCAUAUACCAUCUGCAUCGGAAAAACAUGCUCAAUUUGAAACUGUAAACGAAAAUCUAAUACAAUAAAAAGUUCCUGAAUGACAAGUAAUUGAGGCAAAAAAGAUGAACAAAAAUGUUUAUACACUACCAUCAUGAUAUGCAGCAAGGUCUCAUGAACACGAUGAUCGGCUCAGUUUUCCAAAAUAUCAUAAUGGUGGCUAGCUAAUAGUGGUUGAGUGUAUACAUGUGGAAUCGUGGAAAGGUCGCCAAUCCGUCACUCUAUGGCGGCCGACCACAGGCAGGAGCAGUGGCUUCACCUCUCACCGUGGCGAGAGAUUGGAGUUGAACCCUCUAGUCUAUACCUCUAGUCUAUAACUCUGUGGUUGUACCAUAUCCUGUUAAGAGUAUUAAGGAGUCUGUUGUGUAUUUCCAGGCCUUGGGAACUGUGACAAUGGACUGAAAACAACAUUGGAAUUAGUGCAAGAUAUACCCCUGAUGUCCUGUUCCUGUUCUUCCCUUGUAUAGAGAGAGAGGAGAGAAAGAACAGACAUAGUUAGUGAUGUGCUGGAGCCUUUGUUGUUUGUUUGUUUCUUAUGCCUGUCUAGUGAAAAAUAAUAAAAAUAAUAAUAAGAGGAAGAGAUGAUGUUAUGAGCUAUUGUGUUCUUAAGGGCUAAUUAAACUUUGCUGGUAUUGGAA